AAAGGACGGUUCGCAGAACAGGAACAGAGGGCUCAGCGGCCCCUGGGCGGAAGACAGUUUAUAAAGGAGAAAAUGAAGAAGGGCCCGCACUAAGAGCCUAACUGAAAUCCCGCGAGGAUCAACCGAGCUCGCCGAAAGGAGGGAGGAACGUAUCCCUUCUGGAGGCUGUCUCAGGGGGCAGAGGGACCGGACCGGAAGUGACGUGAGCGGGUUCCGGUUGUCUGGAGCCCA
rnacentral:lncRNA from 1 species